rnacentral:rRNA from 1 species
UGUUUAUAGAAAAGGUUAUAAAUAUUACCUGCUCAAUGAAUCUUAAAUAGCGGCGUAAGUCCUAAGGUAGCAUAAUCAUUAGCCCUUUAAUUGGGGGAUGGUAUGAAGGGUUGUAUGAGUAAAAUUAAUGUUUUGAUUAUAAAUUUCGAAUUUAAUUUUUAAGUUAAAAAGCUUAAAUAAGGUUUAGGGACAAGAAGACCCUAUAAAGUUUAAUUUUUAGACUUAAUUUUAUGAGUUUAUAAAUUUAGUUGGGGCAACAUUAUAAGAAAAGAUUUUAUUAUAAUAAAAAUUUUGAUCCAUUAUUAAUGAAUGAUGAUUAAAUUACUUUAGGGAUAACAGCACAAUUAAAGUUUUAAAGUUCUUAUUUACAACUUUGGUUAUGACCUCGAUGUUGAAUUAAUAUUCUAGGUGGUGAAGAAGCUACAAAGAGAAAGUCUGUUCGACUUUUUAUUAAUUACA